UUAAGCGACUAAGCGUACACGGUGGAUGCCCUGGCAGUCAGAGGCGAUGAAGGACGUGCUAAUCUGCGAAAAGCGUCGGUAAGGUGAUAUGAACCGUUAUAACCGGCGAUGUCCGAAUGGGGAAACCCAGUGCAAUUGUUGCACUAUCGUUAACUGAAUACAUAGGUUAACGAGGCGAACCGGGGAACUGAAACAUCUAAGUACCCCGAGGAAAAGAAAUCAACCGAGAUUCCCCAGUAGCGGCGAGCGAACGGGAGCAGCCCAGAGUCUGAAUCAGCUUGUGUGUUAGUGGAACGGUCUGGAAAGUCCGACGGUACAGGGUGAUAGUCCCGUACACCAAAAUGCACAGGUUGUGAACUCGAAGAGUAGGGCGGGACACGUGGUAUCCUGUCUGAAUAUGGGGGGACCAUCCUCCAAGGCUAAAUACUCCUGACUGACCGAUAGUGAACCAGUACCGUGAGGGAAAGGCGAAAAGAACCCCGGCGAGGGGAGUGAAAAAGAACCUGAAACCGUGUACACAAGCAGUGGGAGCACCUUCGGGUGUGACUGCGUACCUUUUGUAUAAUGGGUCAGCGACUUAUAUUCUGUAGCAAGGUUAACCGUAUAGGGAGCCGCAGGGAAACCGAGUCUUAACUGGGCGUUAAGUUGCAGGGUAUAGACCCGAAACCCGGUGAUCAGCCAUGGGCAGGUUGAAGGUUGGGUAACACUAACUGGAGGACCGAACCGACUAAUGUUGAAAAAUUAGCGGAUGACUUGUGGCUGGGGGUGAAAGGCCAAUCAAACCGGGAGAUAGCUGGUUCUCCCCGAAAGCUAUUUAGGUAGCGCCUCGUGAACUCAUCUUCGGGGUAGAGCACUGUUUCGGCUAGGUCAUCCCGACUUACCAACCCGAUGCAAACUACGAAUACCGAAGAAUGUUAUCACGGGAGACACACGGCGGGUGCUAACGUCCGUCGAAGAGGGAAACAACCCAGACCGCCAGCUAAGGUCCCAAAGUCAUGGUUAAGUGGGAAACGAUGUGGGAAGGCACAGACAGCCAGGAUGUUGGCUUAGAAGCAGCCAUCAUUUAAAGAAAGCGUAAUAGCUCACUGGUCGAGUCGGCCUGCGCGGAAGAUGUAACGGGGCUAAACCAUGCACCGAAGCUGCGGCAGCGACACUAUGUGUUGUUGGGUAGGGAGCGUUCUGUAAGCCUGCGAAGGUGUGCUGUGAGGCAUGCUGGAGGUAUCAGAAGUGCGAAUGCUGACAUAAGUAACGAUAAAGCGGGUGAAAAGCCCGCUCGCCGGAAGACCAAGGGUUCCUGUCCAACGUUAAUCGGGGCAGGGUGAGUCGACCCCUAAGGCGAGGCCGAAAGGCGUAGUCGAUGGGAAACAGGUUAAUAUUCCUGUACUUGGUGUUACUGCGAAGGGGGGACGGAGAAGGCUAUGUUAGCCGGGCGACGGUUGUCCCGGUUUAAGCAUGUAGGCUGAUUGUCCAGGCAAAUCCGGAUAAUCAAGGCUGAGGUGUGAUGACGAGGCACUACGGUGCUGAAGUAACAAAUGCCCUGCUUCCAGGAAAAGCCUCUAAGCAUCAGGUAACAUCAAUCGUACCCCAAACCGACACAGGUGGUCAGGUAGAGAAUACCAAGGCGCUUGAGAGAACUCGGGUGAAGGAACUAGGCAAAAUGGUGCCGUAACUUCGGGAGAAGGCACGCUGGUGUAGGUGAAGUCCCUGCGGAUGGAGCUGAGACCAGUCGAAGAUACCAGCUGGCUGCAACUGUUUAUUAAAAACACAGCACUGUGCAAACACGAAAGUGGACGUAUACGGUGUGACGCCUGCCCGGUGCCGGAAGGUUAAUUGAUGGGGUUAUCCGUAAGGAGAAGCUCUUGAUCGAAGCCCCGGUAAACGGCGGCCGUAACUAUAACGGUCCUAAGGUAGCGAAAUUCCUUGUCGGGUAAGUUCCGACCUGCACGAAUGGCGUAAUGAUGGCGCUGCUCCACCCGAGACUCAGUGAAAUUGAACUCGCUGUGAAGAUGCAGUGUACCCGCGGCAAGACGGAAAGACCCCGUGAACCUUUACUAUAGCUUGACACUGAACAUUGAGCCUUGAUGUGUAGGAUAGGUGGGAGGCUUUGAAGCGUGGACGCCAGUCUGCGGAGCCAACCUUGAAAUACCACCCUUUAAUGUUUGAUGUUCUAACGUUGGCCCCUGACCGUUGCGGACAGUGUCUGGUGGGUAGUUUGACUGGGGCGGUCUCCUCCCAAAGCGUAACGGAGGAGCACGAAGGUUAGCUAAUCCUGGUCGGACAUCAGGAGGUUAGUGCAAUGGCAUAAGCUAGCUUGACUGCGAGCGUGACGGCGCGAGCAGGUGCGAAAGCAGGUCAUAGUGAUCCGGUGGUUCUGAAUGGAAGGGCCAUCGCUCAACGGAUAAAAGGUACUGGGGAUAACAGGCUGAUACCGCCCAAGAGUUCAUAUCGACGGCGGUGUUUGGCACCUCGAUGUCGGCUCAUCACAUCCUGGGCUGAAGUAGGUCCCAAGGGUAUGGCUGUUCGCCAUUUAAAGUGGUACGCGAGCUGGGUUUAGAACGUCGUGAGACAGUUCGGUCCCUAUUCGCCGUGGGCGCUGGAGAAUUGAGGGGCUGCUCCUAGUACGAGAGGACCGGAGUGGACGCAUCACUGGUGUUCGGGUUGUCAUGCCAAUGGCACUGCCCGGUAGCUAAAUGCGGAAGAGAUAAGUGCUGAAAGCAUCUAAGCACGAAACUUGCCCCGAGAUGAGUUCUCCCUGAGACUUUAAGUCUCCUGAAGGAACGUUGAAGACGACGACGUUGAUAGGCCGGGUGUGUAAGCGCAGCGAUGCGUUGAGCUAACCGGUACUAAUGAACCGUGAGGCUUAACCU
rnacentral:rRNA from 1 species